CGUGAACAGGCAGAGGACACGUCUGAAAAGAACGGCUGUCCCCACUGUGCCCCUCCAGUCAGUGCAACGUUGUCCUUCUACGGUUGCUGUAAUAGGCCGAAUAGAACAUGCUGCUAUGUCUGCACCCCAAUCUCCAACUCCCUCAACCUCCUACCACCAACCAAGUGAGCCAGGGGAAGCCAGUGGCCAAACAGAAACCACAGUUAGGUUUGCACCUCACUCCCCAACUCCCUCAACCUCCUACCACCAACCAAGUGAGCCAGGGGAAGC